rnacentral:rRNA from 1 species
AGGCGAGGCCGAAAGGCGUAGUCGAUGGGAAACAGGUUAAUAUUCCUGUACUUGGUGUUACUGCGAAGGGGGGACGGAGAAGGCUAUGUUGGCCGGGCGACGGUUGUCCCGGUUUAAGCGUGUAGGCUGGUUUUCCAGGCAAAUCCGGAAAACCAAGGCUGAGGCGUGAUGACGAGGCACUACGGUGCUGAAGCGACAAAUGCCCUGCUUCCAGGAAAAGCCUCUAAGCAUCAGGUAACAUCAAAUCGUACCCCAAACCGACACAGGUGGUCAGGUAGAGAAUACCAAGGCGCUUGAGAGAACUCGGGUGAAGGAACUAGGCAAAAUGGUGCCGUAACUUCGGGAGAAGGCACGCUGAUAUGUAGGUGAAGCGACUUGCUCGUGGAGCUGAAAUCAGUCGAAGAUACCAGCUGGCUGCAACUGUUUAUUAAAAACACAGCACUGUGCAAACACGAAAGUGGACGUAUACGGUGUGACGCCUGCCCGGUGCCGGAAGGUUAAUUGAUGGGGUUAGCGGUAACGCGAAGCUCUUGAUCGAAGCCCCGGUAAACGGCGGCCGUAACUAUAACGGUCCUAAGGUAGCGAAAUUCCUUGUCGGGUAAGUUCCGACCUGCACGAAUGGCGUAAUGAUGGCCAGGCUGUCUCCACCCGAGACUCAGUGAAAUUGAACUCGCUGUGAAGAUGCAGUGUACCCGCGGCAAGACGGAAAGACCCCGUGAACCUUUACUAUAGCUUGACACUGAACAUUGAGCCUUGAUGUGUAGGAUAGGUGGGAGGCUUUGAAGUGUGGACGCCAGUCUGCAUGGAGCCGACCUUGAAAUACCACCCUUUAAUGUUUGAUGUUCUAACGUGGGCCCCUAAUCGGGGUUGCGGACAGUGUCUGGUGGGUAGUUUGACUGGGGCGGUCUCCUCCUAAAGAGUAACGGAGGAGCACGAAGGUUGGCUAAUCCUGGUCGGACAUCAGGAGGUUAGUGCAAUGGCAUAAGCCAGCUUGACUGCGAGCGUGACGGCGCGAGCAGGUGCGAAAGCAGGUCAUAGUGAUCCGGUGGUUCUGAAUGGAAGGGCCAUCGCUCAACGGAUAAAAGGUACUCCGGGGAUAACAGGCUGAUACCGCCCAAGAGUUCAUAUCGACGGCGGUGUUUGGCACCUCGAUGUCGGCUCAUCACAUCCUGGGGCUGAAGUAGGUCCCAAGGGUAUGGCUGUUCGCCAUUUAAAGUGGUACGCGAGCUGGGUUUAGAACGUCGUGAGACAGUUCGGUCCCUAUCUGCCGUGGGCGCUGGAGAACUGAGGGGGGCUGCUCCUAGUACGAGAGGACCGGAGUGGACGCAUCACUGGUGUUCGGGUUGUCAUGCCAAUGGCACUGCCCGGUAGCUAAAUGCGGAAGAGAUAAGUGCUGAAAGCAUCUAAGUACGAAGCCGGCCACAAGAUUAGAUUUCUCAGGGUCGUUGUAGACUACGACGUUGAUAGGAUGCAGGUGUAAAGAUGGAGACAUCAAAGCCGAGCAUUACUAAUUGCCCGUUCACUUUCCU